UACGUAGGGGGCAAGCGUUAUCCGGAAUCACUGGGCGUAAAGGGUGCGUAGGCGGUCGAUCAAGUCAGAAGUGAAAGGCAAUGGCUCAACCAUUGUAAGCUUUUGAAACUGAUUGACUUGAGUGCAGGAGAGGUAAGUGGAAUUCCUAGUGUAGCGGUGAAAUGCGUAGAUAUUAGGAGGAACACCAGUGGCGAAGGCGACUUACUGGACUGUAACUGACGCUGAGGCACGAAAGCGUGGGGAGC
rnacentral:rRNA from 1 species